GAUGAACGCUGGCGGCGUGCCUAAUACAUGCAAGUCGAGCGAACGGACGAGAAGCUUGCUUCUCUGAUGUUAGCGGCGGACGGGUGAGUAACACGUGGAUAACCUACCUAUAAGACUGGGAUAACUUCGGGAAACCGGAGCUAAUACCGGAUAAUAUUUUGAACCGCAUGGUUCAAAAGUGAAAGACGGUCUUGCUGUCACUUAUAGAUGGAUCCGCGCUGCAUUAGCUAGUUGGUAAGGUAACGGCUUACCAAGGCAACGAUGCAUAGCCGACCUGAGAGGGGGGGCGCCCCACACGGGACAGGCGCCCGCACCGAGAGCCUGAGGGGGGGCGCCGGAGGGGAUCCUCCCGAAUGGGCAAAAGCCCGGAGGGGCCACCCCCGGGGGGUGAAUAAGUGUCUAGGGAGCUAAAACUUUUUUUAUGGGAGAAAAACAUUUUGUAACGUCACGUCGCACACCUGGAGGCUCCCUAAUAGAAGGCCCCGGACACACUCGGCC
rnacentral:rRNA from 1 species